rnacentral:rRNA from 1 species
GACAGAGGGUGCAAGCGUUGUUCGGAAUUACUGGGCGUAAAGGGUGCGUAGGCGGGUCUUUAAGUCAGGGGUGAAAUCCUGGAGCUCAACUCCAGAACUGCCUUUGAUACUGAGGAUCUUGAGUUCGGGAGAGGUGAGUGGAACUGCGAGUGUAGAGGUGAAAUUCGUAGAUAUUCGCAAGAACACCAGUGGCGAAGGCGGCUCACUGGCCCGAUACUGACGCUGAGGCACGAAAGCGUGGGGAGCAAACAGG